UAAUAGUAGUUUGAAUGAAUUUAUUCCUACCUUCAACUUUAAAGAGCAAGAGGACAGUGAAGCUGAUUCAAGAAACAGGCAAUGCCACAAAGGAAGAAAACAAGCCUGUAAGAUGAAAUACUUCUACCUGGUUAAUAAAUACAGAAAUCGAUUCUUCCUCCAUUGAAGUCUAUCUUUUCCAAUGGGACCAAUCCACAUGCAGAUGCAAAGGCACUCAUGUUUGCUCAACAUGUAGAAACAAGAAAAUCACACAGAGCAAGAGUGACAGAAAUGUAAGAUGCUAUGGAAUUAUAAAAGAAUCAUGUUUGACUAAGAUGUUGUAAAUGAACUUCUUGUAACAAAAAAGCCAUUUGAACACAAAUUACUGAGCAUCACUGGUCGGAGAGAUCAUUUAUCACUUCUUAAUAAAUGAUCAGACAAUGACCUCAAACCUACCUUUAUUGAGGUGAAGUUGAAACUAAUCUGCACACAUGUAAUAUGUAGAAUGAGUUAACUUCACCAUCGAGACAAUGAAGAUAUUCACAGCCUUCAACAGAUUUGGAUGCCCCUUGGUAAUCCCUUCUAUCUGUCCAUGUUCUCCAACCUCCCCAAAUUCCAGAUAAACAAUUAUCUACUUUCUAUGACUAUGGAUUAGUUUGCUUUGAUGUUUGUAUCAAAAUAGAAACAAAGGUAUUGAUCACUGGUUACGUUCACUGUUUUUUGUUUGUUUGUUUUGUUUUGUUUUGUUUUUGAGACAGAGUAUCACUGUCACCUAGGCUGGAGUGCAGUGGCAAGAUCAUAUCUCACUGCAACCUGGAACUCCUAGACUCAAGUGGUCCUCCUGCCUCAGCCUCUGGAGUUACCAGGACUACAGGAAUGUGCCACCAUGUCCAGCUAAUUUAUUAUUAUUUGUUUAACGAUGGAGUCUCACUAUAGUGCCCAAGCUCUUCUAAUACUCCUGGGAGCAAAUAAUCCUCUUGUCCUGGCAUUCCAAAACUCUAGGACCACAGGCAUAAACCACCACACAUGGCCGUUUGUUUUUAAAGAUGAAAGUAAUUAGAGUAGCGGUUUUUAAAGUCUGCUUCCUGUACCAACAGCAUAAGCACCACUUGGGAACUUGCUGUCAAUACAGAUUCUUGAGACUCACACCAAAGUUACUGAAUUAGAAAUCCUGCUAUCGUCUGGGCUGAUCUAGAUUAGAAAUAUCUAUCAAUACCAAUUCCAUUCAGAUUAUUUUAAAAGUGGUAGGUAUUGCAUAUUUAAUCUUGUUUUUUCUUAUUUGAAUUACAUUUUAAGCUAACAAUGAAAGAGAAGUUAAUCAUUAUAUAAAUAUUUUAACCAUCAAAUAAAGAAUGAUAGGAUUAGAAUUUCAUCAUUUUGCAACCCAUGAUGAAACACAUGUAAUAAGCAAUGGUCAUCAAUUUAGCAAGGAAAUGUUAAGACCAAAAAGCGAGAUAAAUAAAGAUCCUGGCUCUCUUGUAAAAUAGAAAACAACAUGUAUAAAGUAUUCAACAAUAUCCAGAAUUAGAUAUAUUACUUACAUAUACUUAUAAGUGCAGAAUAAACUACCCCAAAACUUAUUGGCUUUAAAUGACCAUAAUCAAUUAUUAGGUCUCACGAAUCUAAGAGUUAUGUCAGACAGGGCACUGCACACACUCUUUGUUUCUGCUCCACACAGCUGAGUCUUCAGGAGGAAGAUUUGAAGGACAGGGCUGAAAUUAUCUGAAGGCUUAUUUAUUCACAUGUCUAGUGGCUGAUAUUGGUUGUCAGCUGAGGCUCUAAGUGGGCUGUCAACCAAAAUAUCUACGUGCUGGCAUUCCCAUGUGUCUUGUCCUCCGCCAAACAUGAUGAUGGUGGUUGGGUUCCAACAUCAACAUUUGGGGAAAAAGAGCAAGAGAGUCAGGUCAAAAUGGUAUCUUUUUUGAGCUAGUCAUGGACAUUGCAUAGCAUCACAUUUACUAUACUGCAUUAUUCAGAACAGUCACAACCCUUGCCCAAAUUUAAUGGGAGAAACAAACUACACCUCACAGUGAGAUUGCAAAACAUUGUAAAAUGGGUGUGCUCAAUGGCAUAAACAUACAGGUGUGGCCAGUUUGGGAACAUCUAAAUUACUUAAAUGACAAAACUGUAAUAGGAGAAAUGAGAUUUUCCAAUCCCUUCCACAAAUAAAUUUGAAGAAAAAAAUAAGAGACGGAAGGGAAACUACCAAAUCGAGGAUAACUUAAGAGGUGUAUCAAUUAAUUGUGAUCUAUAGACCAUCUUGGAAUUUUUAUUAAAACAAGCUGCAUCAAAAGUUGGAGAAAAUUGGGGUAAUUUGAACAAAGGCAGAAUAUUUGGCGAUGUUAAAAAAUUGUUAUUUUUGUUUAGUAAUAGUGUUAUUUUUUUUAUUUUUGAGAGUCUAUAACUUAGAGUUACAUACUAGAUUAUAAAUGAAUAACAUAAUUUGUGUUCUGCAAUUUGAUUGAUGAUAAUCGGUGACCGAAAGAAUGUGGGUGUAUCAAUGUGAUUAAGUUAGAUCACAAUUUAAUAAUUAUUAAUUUCUGAAUUGGGUUAAUGGGUGCC
rnacentral:lncRNA from 1 species